CCUACGGGAGGCAGCAGUGAGGAAUAUUGGUCAAUGGGCGCGAGCCUGAACCAGCCAAGUCGCGUGAGGGAAGACGGUCCUAUGGAUUGUAAACCUCUUUUGUCGGGGAGCAAAAGACGCCACGUGUGGCGUUCCGAGAGUACGCGAAGAAAAAGCAUCGGCUAACUCCGUGCCAGCCGCCGCGGUAAUACGGAGGAUGCGAGCGUUAUCCGGAUUUAUUGGGUUUAAAGGGAGCGAAGUGGGAUUGUUAGGCCGGCGGUAAAAUGUCGGGGCUCAACCCCGGCCUGCCGUCGAAACUGGGGGCCUUGAGUGGGCGAGAGGGAUGCGGAAUGCGUGGUGUAGCGGUGAAAUGCAUAGAUAUCACGCAGAACCCCGAUUGCGAAGGCAGCAUACCGGCGCCCUACUGACGCUGAGGCACGAAAGUGCGGGUAUCGAACAGGAUUAGAUACCCCAGUAGUC
rnacentral:rRNA from 1 species